GACAGAGGCCCCGAGCGUUAGUCGGAAUUACUGGGCUUAAAGGGUGCGUAGGCUGGCGUGUAAGUGUCUUGUGAAAGCCCUGGGCUCAACCCAGGAACCGCAGGGCAUACUGCACGUCUCGAAGAAGCUAGAGGCCGGUGGAACGAUCGGUGGAGCGGUGGAAUGCGUAGAGAUCGAUCGGAACGCCAAGGGUGAAGACAACCGGCUGGGGCUUUCUUGACGCUGAGGCACGAAAGCGUGGGGAUCAAACAGG
rnacentral:rRNA from 1 species